rnacentral:lncRNA from 1 species
UUUUCUCUCUCUUGUUUCUCUUUCCUCAUUUCUUCAUCUUUCUAGAUUUACAACUUAAUGUUUGGCGGAUCAUAACUUUUGAUCCGUAAUUCCGAUUCUGAAUCCACGAAGGGUUACAGAUUCGUAUCAACGCUUUCUUUUUACCUUGAGUUUUGAGUUAGAUCCAACGGUGAUUCCUAGAUGGCUUGUUUUAGGAGGCUCGGUUUACGAUCGGUACUCGUGGUGGGGUUUCGAUGCUAUCGAGGUGAGUGGAUUUGUGUAAUAUGUUUCAAAUAUUCUUAUUUGCUAUAAAAAUAGUCGAAAAACAUGAUUUUGAUCAUUUACGAAAUAUUUGUCUAUUUUCGAGUGAAGCGUGUCGAUUUGCGAAAUAUGUGGAGUUUAUAUAUAAUUAUGUGUUUGAUCUAUUGUUUGACUAGUCAUGGAACAUGUGAACUUCUUAAUUGGUUAUGCCAAAGUAAGGAUGUGACACACGGUGGUAUAGGACUUGAAGAUAAUUAGGUUCCCGUGGGGAUCUCUAAAUUGAAGGAUAUCCAAUAAGAAUGGAUUGUGCGAUGUGAUGAAUUGCGUGGACUGAUAUGUAUACGAUAUACGUAUUUUGUAGCGUGUGUAAAAUAACAUGGCUUUGUUGGCAUAUUACAUUGGUCUACUCACUGAGCGUAUGGUUUUGAUCACCCACCCAUCUCUGAUAUUUUUUGCAGAGAAAUACUUAGGUUGUACCGAGCUGAAAAAAGGGUGUGUAAAAUGACAUGGCUUUGCUGGCAUAUUACAUUGGUCUACUCACUGAGCGUAUGGUUUUGAUCACCCACCCAUCUCUGAUAUUUUUUGCAGAGAAAUACUUAGGUUGUACCGAGCUGAAAAAAGGGUAGAUGACGAGCCUAGAAAGAACAGCCCUAGAAGAUAGUACUUUUGUUUACAUUCCGCUUUGUAACACUCAUUCAUGCCUCGAAAUUGGUGUCUGGUGCUUAAAACCAGCCGACGUCGGGACCGAGGCGUGAUAUGGUGACCUGGAUUUCUUUUCUAAGGCGUGGUCAUGGAAGAACAAAGGAUUGACAGUUGUUUUUAGGCAGGGAUGGCAUGAACGUGGCGGUCUGGGUGGAGGUUUGGCGUCGCUGCACUGCUGGUGUGGUCUUGACUAAGGUCGGUCAUGGUUCUAUAAUGGUGAGAUAGAUGGUGGUGGUGCUCUGGGCAGUUUAGACGGCAUGCAAGAACUGACACGACCCACCCCGAAUUUCACCCUGAAACCCGGAGUAAGUUGUGCGGGGACCACCUCCAAGGAAAAUUUACUGAAAAGAUUGAGAAAAUCUCCCUUGAAAAUGGACAACUCUAACUCGAAAAUUCCAAAUUACACUCUUAAUACAACACGUCCAAACAUCACAUAAUUAUCCUUCAGAAAUUCUAAACAUAAUAUACAAUAAUCCCAAAGUAUUCAGAGCUACUAGACACUAGCGGAAGUAAGAAAACACUAGUAGGUUAAACAUGUAACCUACUGAUGCAAACUGGCGGAAAUACGGGUGACUAUGCCUCGCCUCCUACUAGAUCCAACCCGAACUUUGUAGAUUGGGCAAUUUAAAACGAAUGGCCCAGGGGAAAACAUUUAAUAACGUUAGAGUGAGUGGACAAAAAUAAAAUAAAAUAAUAAAUAAAAUAUUUAUGUUUCCCCAAAUUAAUUUCUAAGGAAAAAUCGAAUGCAUGCCGCAAGCGAUAAAACUUUUAUCUUAUAAAAUAUCGAGUCUCUCAGACUCUAUAAUAUAUGUAUGUAUUUACACUCGUCCAUACUCCCUAUAUAAAUUCAUGAGUCUAUAUAGGGCUACUACGCUCGCGUCCAACGCUCAUGUCACUCCUUAAUGCGGUGCUACACUACGCCAUUAAGGUGGACAGACGGGUGUAUAAAUAUGUGUCCAUACCCCCUAUAUAAAUUAAACACUCAAAUAGGGCUACUACGCUCACGUCACACCAUAAUGCGGCUAUAUGCUACGCCAUUAAGGUGGACAGACACAUAUGGCUAGCUAGCAUUUUAUAUACAUACUCUCUCAUAAAUACAUAUUUAUAUCUACCGAAAAUCCUAUUUUCGGUAACUCUCCAAGAGAAAUAAAAUGACGUCAACAUAUUCCGCAACAAUUAUUGUUCAACCAUGAACUCUAGCAUGCAUUUAUUUAAAACAAAAGUCCACUCACAAAUUAGGCCUAAGCCUGAUGUCGAUCUGGGGCCUCGUCUGCUCGAGCCUCCUCACGUCCUGAUCCAAAAAUAAUAUUAAUUUCCCAACUAACAAUCCAAUAUUUAAUCAAAAUAGGCAAAAUUACCCGAGAGCCAUAAAUACGCUCAUCAUUGCCUAACUUCGAUAUUCUUAAAUCAGAACGAUCCGAACUUAAAUAUCAUCCUCGACAGUCGUAAAUACAACCUCCCCAAAAAUACGACUUAAAUCCUACGGCCGGAUUCUACAUUAAUUAACCGCCAAAAAUACCAAACUUCGGAAAUUCACAAACCUAUCCAAAUCUCAUCCAAAAAUUCCAUAAAUCACAUCAAUAUAAUCCCCUUAAUAUUCCACAUUUAAAACCCUAAAAAUCUCCCAAACCGCGGCGGCGCCAGCUGCGGCUCCGCCGGCAACGACGGCCGGAGGCCGAUUCCGGCGACCUCCAAAACCUAUGAAAUUUUGACAGCACAAUCCUCUCAUCAUGCUCUACAACUCUCUUAACUAGCACAAACACCAAUUCCAAGCCUAACUAGGGUAAUCGACUAAAAACAUCCUAAAAGCCCUAGAAAUUUCAACUCCACAUUUCUCCUUACCUAGCUCAAGAGAGGGUGAGCUCUUUGGAGGGUUUGCUGCACGGGAGGAGGCUACAAAACGAGCUAAGGAUCGCCAGUUUUAGUGGCCGGAUGAGGGAGUUCCGGCAAAGGAUAGUCCGGCGUCUCCGGAGGGAAAACUCCCGCUCGGCGGCGUUACCGGCGGGGGCACUAGGCCGGGAAGGGAGAGGAGGUGGCGGGGCUCCGAACUGGGCUGGAGCGGCGGCAGAUGGUGGCCGGACGGCGGUAGGAGGACGGCCGGAAAACUGGGCAGCGGGAGGGGCUCAGGAGAGAGAGGGAACCGAGAGGAGAAAAGAGAAGAAAAAGAGAAAAGAAAAAAUGGGCCUCUAACACCCGGUCCAACAACCUUAUACACCAAAACCCACUCUAAAAUUUACACCCCAAAAUAAUACCCUAAUAAAAAUUACCUUUUACUAGCUAAAAUUUACCAUUUUUACCGUCGUCAUAUUUUCCUCCCACGAAUAAUCCUCCGCACAUAAUCGUCCCCGAAACCCUUCUAGGGACCAAUUAAACUAUAACUUCAAUGACGGAGACGGUAAAAUUCUUAUUAUAAUCAAGUUAGUAAAUAAGGUAAAAAUAUAAGGGUCGGGAUGUGACAAGAACGUUCUGAAGCAACGAGAUCGAUGGUCGUGGUGGUGGGUGAAGACUUGCGGUCAUUAUCAAAGGAAGUCGGUAGCGAGUCAGGGGUGAACAACUUAGAUAUUGUCUGCAUUAGGCCCACUAUCCCUCUCGGUUUUGUUCUUGAGGUUUAACCUCGAAAAGGUGUCUCAAUGUAAGGAGUCGACUCUGCACAUAUAAAUACAACAACUUGUCUCCCCGGGUGAUGUGGAACGUGUGCAUUUGCUAGCUUGUCAAUGCCUCUUAUAAGCACUCACCCAGUCAAGGUACUCCAAUCCACCCCUCUCAAGGGCCAGACGUCCUCGUCUACGUUACUCCAGGGACAGAUUGUGAUACCGUCUGUAAUAACUCAGUCCACACAACUAAGAUAUUGUCCGCUCUGGGCCCUGACCCUCACAGUUUUGUUUAUGAGGUUUCACCUCAAAACAUGUCUCAAUGUAAGAAAUUGAUUCAGAAUAUACAAGCAUGGUACGUAACUUGUCUUCCCUGGGCAAUAUGGGACGCUUGCACCAGCUGCUAGCUUGUUAGUGCCUAUAGCACCUGCCUCACAUGUUGCGUGAUGGAAAGGGUGCUAAGCCUUAUGAGUGCCCAAAGUAAUUUGGUGUUAGGCUUUCUUAUGGGCCAGGCUUUCUUGUGGGGUUAGCGUUUGGGUGUUUAGAUGUUUGAGUUUGUAUGUU